GCCAAAGUGUGUUCGCCGGCGACCAGUAGACGUGGCAAGCGCCAGCUCUAGGGCUCCAAAGUGCGGAAAUGUGCCCGUUCACACGGAUCCAAAGUAGAAGAAGUCAUCUGGGCAUCAUUGCGUCGUGUUUGGAUGCCAAAACAACCAGCGGAAAAGGAGCAGGUUGCUUAGCGCUGUUUGCGAAGAGCACAACACACGUAGGGAAUCGUGCCGGUGCGGUGUUUUCAUCCUGCGCCGAUUUCCAUCCGCAACGAAGAAUGCCAAGCUGCGCCACCGGUGGAUAGCUGCAGUGAAUAGGAAGAACUACCAACCCAGUGAAAAUGCACGAUGUGCAGGUGGUGAAGGGCAGGCGUCUGCUAACCAGGCAGUCAAACGACCUCGCCAGUUGGUUGCCAAGCGCGGCCAACCCAGUAGAGACCAUUACAAACAAGACCAAACUGAAAGUGCA